rnacentral:rRNA from 1 species
AGUGAACGCUGGCGGUAGGCCUAACACAUGCAACUCGAACGGCAGCACAGUAAGAGCUUGCUCUUACGGGUGGCGAGUGGCGGACGGGUGAGGAAUACAUCGGAAUCUACUUUUUCGUGGGGGAUAACGUAGGGAAACUUACGCUAAUACCGCAUACGACCUACGGGUGAAAGCAGGGGAUCUUCGGACCUUGCGCGAUUGAAUGAGCCGAUGUCGGAUUAGCUAGUUGGCGGGGUAAAGGCCCACCAAGGCGACGAUCCGUAGCUGGUCCGAGAGGAUGAUCAGCCACACUGGAACUGAGACACGGUCCAGACUCCUACGGGAGGCAGCAGUGGGGAAUAUUGGACAAUGGGCGCAAGCCUGAUCCAGCCAUACCGCGUGGGUGAAGAAGGCCUUCGGGUUGUAAAGCCCUUUUGUUGGGAAAGAAAAGCAGCAGGUUAAUACCCCGCUGUUCUGACGGUACCCAAAGAAUAAGCACCGGCUAACUUCGUG